AAAAAAUAAAAUAAGAAAUUAUUUACUGAAAAAGAAAAUAUGGAAUCGCUUGAAUUACAUGGUGGUUUUAUGAUUUCCAACGAGUUGUAAUAGGUGCCCCGAAUCGCAUGCGGUCAAUUUCAAGGUCAAGGUCAAGAAAAUAAGCAUCGACUGUGAAACGCAAACGACUACUCCGUAUACAACAAUGCUUAGCUACGAUUUUAUUUGGGCAGAACUUAAGCACGAACUGUGAAACCGGGCAUUAGUGAGUUAAAUGUAGCAUUUUAAGUCCAGAAGAAAUGUAUUAUUUGGAUUCUGUGUAAUCUAGACCAAUAAAAGUAACUAUUCAGCCAUACAAACACCGAAGGGAUGAAUAAAUUGUAUAAAAUCCUCAACAUGCUAGUUCAAUGUGAUGAAAAUACA